AGCGAACGCUGGCGGCAGGCCUAACACAUGCAAGUCGAGCGAAGCCUUCGGGCUUAGCGGCGGACGGGUGAGUAACGCGUGGGAACAUACCCUUUGGUACGGAAUAGCCUCGGGAAACUGGGAGUAAUACCGUAUGUGGUCGAGAGACGAAAGAUUUAUCGCCAAAGGAUUGGCCCGCGUUGGAUUAGGUAGUUGGUGGGGUAAUGGCCUACCAAGCCGACGAUCCAUAGCUGGUUUGAGAGGAUGAUCAGCCACACUGGGACUGAGACACGGCCCAGACUCCUACGGGAGGCAGCAGUGGGGAAUCUUAGACAAUGGGGGAAACCCUGAUCUAGCCAUGCCGCGUGAUCGAUGAAGGCCUUAGGGUUGUAAAGAUCUUUCAGGUGGGAAGAUAAUGACUGUACCACCAGAAGAAGCCCCGGCUAACUCCGUGCCAGCAGCCGCAGUAACAC
rnacentral:rRNA from 1 species